UCCGACUGUUUAAUUAAUACAAAGCAUUCUGUCCAGUGCUUUGAAUUUCAAAGUGAAGAAAUUCUACCAAGCGUGGGUAAACGGCGGAAGUAACUAUGACUGUCUUUGGGUGAUGUAGCCAGAUUCUCCUUCCAGUGGUAUCCCCUGUGAGUAGCCGUUAGCCGAAACCAACAAAUCUGGCACCGAGA
rnacentral:rRNA from 1 species